rnacentral:rRNA from 1 species
CGGGGCUUAAAGUCUUGUAAUUGGAAUGAUGGGAAUUUAAACCUCUUCCAGAGUAUCAAUUGGAGGGCAAGUCUGGUGCCAGCAGCCGCGGUAAUUCCAGCUCCAAUAGCGUAUAUUAAAAUUGUUGCAGUUAAAAAGCUCGUAGUUGAAUUUCUGCUGCAUUGCUUGUGUCCCUCUGGGGUCUGUGCAUGUGGCUUUUUUCGGACGGAGUUCCUUUGUCUGAAUGUUUACUUUGAGAAAAUUAGAGUGCUCAAAGCAGGCUUUCGCCUUGAAUAGUUUAGCAUGGAAUAAUAAAGUAGGACUUUGGUUCUAUUUUGUUGGUUUUAGGUACCAAAGUAAUGGUUAAUAGGAACAGUUGGGGGCAUUCGUAUUUAACUGUCAGAGGUGAAAUUCUUAGAUUUGUUAAAGACGAACUACUGCGAAAGCAUUUGCCAAGGAUGUUUUCAUUAAUCAAGAAC